CUCGUAGGCGGUUCGUCGCGUCCGGUGUGAAAGUCCAUCGCUUAACGGUGGAUCCGCGUCGGGUACGGGCGGGCUGGAGUGCGGUAGGAGAGACUGGAAUUCCCGGUGUAACGGUGGAAUGUGUAGAUAUCGGGAAGAACACCAAUGGCGAAGGCAGGUCUCUGGGCCGUUACUGACGCUGAGGAGCGAAAGCGUGGGGAGCGAACA
rnacentral:rRNA from 1 species